rnacentral:lncRNA from 1 species
UUGGAUUGGGAGAAACUUAUGAUCUGACCCUCAGACCUAAGUUAUAACUGUACCGAGGUCCUCAGACUUAACACAGAGAAGUCCUAAAAUUUUACACAGAUACCCUCGGGUCAAAGAAAAAGAUACAACCGAGCCCUCGAGCGAGGCGGACAAGGGUCGGCAAAACAGACAGGGUCGGGCGAGACGGAAAAAGGGAUCGGGUGAGCCGGAAAGGGGUCGGCAGCUUACCUUUAGGCCUACGGGUGAAUUCUUGGGGUUGGGAAGGAACAGACUCAGGUGAAAGGACUUGAGGCACUAAGACUUGGGCGGCGGCGGCGUCCGGCGGUGCUCCAGCGGCGGCGGUGCGUCUUGUGGACAACAAGUAAGCUCUAGCACCGUGCGGAGGGAAACAGGCGGCUGGUGGGUUGGGAAAAGUGGGUGUUGAGCGGAGAGGGGAAGUUCCUCAAGAGCUUAUGCGACAGCGCUUGGGUGCAAACAGAGGAAGGUGCGGCGAGGCAAUGAUGGCGAAGGGAACUCCGGUAGAGGCUCUGGUACUCCCUUUUAUAGCUGCGCGGAAGAGAAAG